UCGAGUCCUACUCUUGCCACCA
rnacentral:misc_RNA from 1 species